rnacentral:rRNA from 1 species
AUGAGCCCUGGAACUACAUCAGUCGUGGUAAGCACACACAGAGUCCUUUCAAAACAAUAUCUCGCUUCUGUUGGCGGCGCGCCUGACAUAAAACACAAAACAAAUGCAGGAACGCCUUGCGGUGUCAAGUACUUUGGCGAGCUAGAGGACCAUUGCUUCUGGGGCAAUGAAGUGAAGCUCUAUGAACAUCAUGUGGAUAAGCUCUUCGCAAUGUUUUGGCACAAGAAGCCAAAGAUCGACUACUACGUCUGCACCAUUAACAAGACAUUUGCCAAACCAGGGCAGCGCAUGGUGGAGUACACAAAGGACAAUAUGCAGGAGUACAUUUAG